GACGAACGCUGGCGGCGUGCUUAACACAUGCAAGUCGAGCGGUAAGGCCCUUUCGGGGGUACACGAGCGGCGAACGGGUGAGUAACACGUGGGUGACCUGCCCUUAGCUCUGGGAUAAGCCUGGGAAACUGGGUCUAAUACCGGAUAUGACUCCAUGACGCAUGUUGUGGGGUGGAAAGCCUUGUGCGGCUAGGGAUGGGCCCGCGGCCUAUCAGCUUGUUGGUGGGGUGANGGCCUACCAAGGCGACGACGGGUAGCCGGCCUGAGAGGGCGACCGGCCACACUGGGACUGAGACACGGCCCAGACUCCUACGGGAGGCAGCAGUGGGGAAUCUUGCGCAAUGGGCGAAAGCCUGACGCAGCGACGCCGCGGUGGGGAUGACGGCCU
rnacentral:rRNA from 1 species